rnacentral:rRNA from 1 species
UACGUAGGCAGCAAGCGUUGUUCGGAGUUACUGGGCGUAAAGAGUGCGUAGGCGGCUCUGUAAGUUUGGUGUGAAAUCUCCCGGCUCAACUGGGAGGGUGCGCCGAAGACUGCAGGGCUCGAGUAUGGGAGAGGUAAGCGGAAUUCCUGGUGUAGCGGUGAAAUGCGUAGAUAUCAGGAGGAACACCUGUGGUGUAGACAGCUUACUGGACCAUGACUGACGCUGAGGCACGAAAGCGUGGGUAGCAAACAGG